rnacentral:rRNA from 1 species
GGGCUCGCAGGCGGUUUCUUAAGUCUGAUGUGAAAGCCCCCGGCUCAACCGGGGAGGGUCAUUGGAAACUGGGGAACUUGAGUGCAGAAGAGGAGAGUGGAAUUCCACGUGUAGCGGUGAAAUGCGUAGAGAUGUGGAGGAACACCAGUGGCGAAGGCGACUCUCUGGUCUGUAACUGACGCUGAGGAGCGAAAGCGUGGGGAGCGAACAGGAUUAGAUACCCUGGUAGUCCACGCCGUAAACGAUGAGUGCUAAGUGUUAGGGGGUUUCCGCCCCUUAGUGCUGCAGCUAACGCAUUAAGCACUCCGCCUGGGGAGUACGGUCGCAAGACUGAAACUCAAAGGAAUUGACGGGGGCCCGCACAAGCGGUGGAGCAUGUGGUUUAAUUCGAAGCAACGCGAAGAACCUUACCAGGUCUUGACAUCCUCUGACACUCCUAGAGAUAGGACGUCCCCUUCGGGGGCAGAGUGACAGGUGGUGCAUGGUUGUCGUCAGCUCGUGUCGUGAGAUGUUGGGUUAAGUCCCGCAACGAGCGCAACCCUUGAUCUUAGUUGCCAGCAUUCAGUUGGGCACUCUAAGGUGACUGCCGGUGACAAACCGGAGGAAGGUGGGGAUGACGUCAAAUCAUCAUGCCCCUUAUGACCUGGGCUACACACGUGCUACAAUGGACAGAACAAAGGGCAGCGAAACCGCGAGGUUAAGCCAAUCUCACAAAUCUGUUCUCAGUUCGGAUCGCAGUCUGCAACUCGACUGCGUGAAGCUGGAAUCGCUAGUAAUCGCGGAU